ACAAAUGGUGAAACCCUUGCAUAAUGCUGGAAUUGAGGUCAUUUUGGAUGUGGUCUAUAACCAUAAUAAUGAAGCUGAUGAUAAUCAUCCUUAUACUGCUUCUUUUCGUGGCGUAGACAAUAAGGUUUAUUACAUGCUCGAUGUUGACAACAAUUCUCAAUUGCUUAUUUUCUCUGGAUGUGGUACUUCCAAUCAUUCCCUUCAAUUUGUCCAGCCUUUUCCAUCAAAGUUCUUUCUUAUGACAUCUUUUAAAGCCAACUCUAUUAAUAUACUAUUAAGCUUCAAUUCCUAAUGAACAAUGCUAAGAGAAUUUGUGGCACACAUGCGAUAUUUGGGCCACCGUCAUGUCAUGAUCACAGUGAAACAAAUCAU